rnacentral:rRNA from 1 species
GCUAAGGUCCCAAAGUCAUGGUUAAGUGGGAAACGAUGUGGGAAGGCCCAGACAGCCAGGAUGUUGGCUUAGAAGCAGCCAUCAUUUAAAGAAAGCGUAAUAGCUCACUGGUCGAGUCGGCCUGCGCGGAAGAUGUAACGGGGCUAAACCAUGCACCGAAGCUGCGGCAGCGACGCUGAUGCGUUGUUGGGUAGGGGAGCGUUCUGUAAGCCUGUGAAGGUGGCCUGUGAGGGUUGCUGGAGGUAUCAGAAGUGCGAAUGCUGACAUAAGUAACGAUAAAGCGGGUGAAAAGCCCGCUCGCCGGAAGACCAAGGGUUCCUGUCCAACGUUAAUCGGGGCAGGGUGAGUCGACCCCUAAGGCGAGGCCGAAAGGCGUAGUCGAUGGGAAACGGGUUAAUAUUCCCGUACUUGGUGUUACUGCGAAGGGGGGACGGAGAAGGCUAUGUUGGCCGGGCGACGGUUGUCCCGGUUUAAGCGUGUAGGUGUGUGUUCCAGGUAAAUCCGGUUCACUUUAACACUGAGGCGUGAUGACGAGGCACUACGGUGCUGAAGCAACAAAUGCCCUGCUUCCAGGAAAAGCCUCUAAGCAUCAGGUAACAUCAAAUCGUACCCCAAACCGACACAGGUGGUCAGGUAGAGAAUACCAAGGCGCUUGAGAGAACUCGGGUGAAGGAACUAGGCAAAAUGGUGCCGUAACUUCGGGAGAAGGCACGCUGACACGUAGGUGAAGUGAUUUACUCAUGGAGCUGAAGUCAGUCGAAGAUACCAGCUGGCUGCAACUGUUUAUUAAAAACACAGCACUGUGCAAACACGAAAGUGGACGUAUACGGUGUGACGCCUGCCCGGUGCCGGAAGGUUAAUUGAUGGGGUCAGCGCAAGCGAAGCUCCUGAUCGAAGCCCCGGUAAACGGCGGCCGUAACUAUAACGGUCCUAAGGUAGCGAAAUUCCUUGUCGGGUAAGUUCCGACCUGCACGAAUGGCGUAAUGAUGGCCAGGCUGUCUCCACCCGAGACUCAGUGAAAUUGAACUCGCUGUGAAGAUGCAGUGUACCCGCGGCAAGACGGAAAGACCCCGUGAACCUUUACUAUAGCUUGACACUGAACAUUGAGCCUUGAUGUGUAGGAUAGGUGGGAGGCUUUGAAGCGUGGACGCCAGUCUGCAUGGAGCCGGCCUUGAAAUACCACCCUUUAAUGUUUGAUGUUCUAACGUGGACCCGUGAUCCGGGUUGCGGACAGUGUCUGGUGGGUAGUUUGACUGGGGCGGUCUCCUCCUAAAGAGUAACGGAGGAGCACGAAGGUUGGCUAAUCCUGGUCGGACAUCAGGAGGUUAGUGCAAUGGCAUAAGCCAGCUUGACUGCGAGCGUGACGGCGCGAGCAGGUGCGAAAGCAGGUCAUAGUGAUCCGGUGGUUCUGAAUGGAAGGGCCAUCGCUCAACGGAUAAAAGGUACUCCGGGGAUAACAGGCUGAUACCGCCCAAGAGUUCAUAUCGACGGCGGUGUUUGGCACCUCGAUGUCGGCUCAUCACAUCCUGGGGCUGAAGUAGGUCCCAAGGGUAUGGCUGUUCGCCAUUUAAAGUGGUACGCGAGCUGGGUUUAGAACGUCGUGAGACAGUUCGGUCCCUAUCUGCCGUGGGCGCUGGAGAACUGAGGGGGGCUGCUCCUAGUACGAGAGGACCGGAGUGGACGCAUCACUGGUGUUCGGGUUGUCAUGCCAAUGGCACUGCCCGGUAGCUAAAUGCGGAAGAGAUAAGUGCUGAAAGCAUCUAAGCACGAAACUUGCCCCGAGAUGAGUUCUCCCUGAGACUUAGAGUCUCCUGAAGGAACGUUGAAGACGACGACGUUGAUAGGCCGGGUGUGUAAGCGCAGCGAUGCGUUGAGCUAACCGGUACUAAUGAACCGUGAGGCUUAACCUU